rnacentral:rRNA from 1 species
GACGAACGCUGGCGGCGUGCCUAAUACAUGCAAGUAGAACGCUGAAGAGAGGAGCUUGCUCUUCUUGGAUGAGUUGCGAACGGGUGAGUAACGCGUAGGUAACCUGCCUGGUAGCGGGGGAUAACUAUUGGAAACGAUAGCUAAUACCGCAUAACAACAGUUGUUGCAUGACAGCUGUUUAAAAGAUGCAAUUGCAUCACUACCAGAUGGACCUGCGUUGUAUUAGCUAGUUGGUGAGGUAACGGCUCACCAAGGCGACGAUACAUAGCCGACCUGAGAGGGUGAGCGGCCACACUGGGACUGAGACACGGCCCAGACUCCUACGGGAGGCAGCAGUAGGGAAUCUUCGGCAAUGGGGGGAACCCUGACCGAGCAACGCCGCGGGAGUGAAGAAGGUUUUCGGAUCGUAAAGCUCUGUUGUAAGAGAAGAACGGGUGUGAGAGUGGAAAGUUCACACUGUGACGGUAUCUUACCAGAAAGGGACGGCUAACUACGUG